UACGUAGGGGGCGAGCGUUGUCCGGAAUUAUUGGGCGUAAAGAGCUCGUAGGCGGUUUGUCGCGUCGAAUGUGAAAACCCGGGGCUCAACCCCGGGCCUGCAUUCGAUACGGGCAGACUAGAGUUCGGUAGGGGAGUCUGGAAUUCCUGGUGUAGCGGUGAAAUGCGCAGAUAUCAGGAGGAACACCGGUGGCGAAGGCGGGUCUCUGGGCCGAAACUGACGCUGAGGAGCGAAAGCGUGGGGAGCGAACAGG
rnacentral:rRNA from 1 species